rnacentral:tRNA from 1 species
GAGGAUAUAGCCCAGUGGUAGAGCACAUGCUUAGCAUGCAUGAGGUCUUGGGUUCAUUCUUCAGUAUCUCCA